GUGGGGAAUUUUGGACAAUGGGCGAAAGCCUGAUCCAGCCAUGCCGCGUGAACGAUGAAGGCCUUCGGGUUGUAAAGUUCUUUAGCCGAUGAUUAUAAUGACUGUAGUCGGAAAAUAAGCCCCGGCUAACUUCGUGCCAGCAGCCGCGGUAAUACGAAGGGGGCGAGCGUUAUUCGGAAUCACUGGGCGUAAAGCGUGCGUAGGCGGUUUUGUAAGUUAGGAGUGAAAGCCCAGGGCUCAACCUUGGAAUUGCUCUUAAAACUGCAAGGCUCGAAUCUCGGAGAGGAUAGCGGAAUUUCCAGUGUAGCAGUGAAAUGCGUAGAUAUUGGAAGGAACACCAGUGGCGUAAGCGGCUAUCUGGACGAGUAUUGACGCUGAGGCACGAAAGCGUGGGGAUCAAACAGGAUUAGAAACCCCUGUAGUCC
rnacentral:rRNA from 1 species